GAAUUUAAACCUCUUCCAGAGUAUCAAUUGGAGGGCAAGUCUGGUGCCAGCAGCCGCGGUAAUUCCAGCUCCAAUAGCGUAUAUUAAAAUUGUUGCAGUUAAAAAGCUCGUAGUUGAAUUUCUGCUACAUUGCCUAUUCUCCUUUACGAGUUUGGGUCUUUUGUGGCUUAUCUGGGUUCGCUUGCGUUCCCGGUGUUUUACUUUGAGAAAAUUAGAGUGCUCAAAGCAGGCUUUUGCCUUGAAUAGUUUAGCAUGGAAUAAUAAAGUAGGACUUUGGUUCUAUUUUGUUGGUUUUAGGUACCAAAGUAAUGGUUAAUAGGAACAGUUGGGGGCAUUCGUAUUUAACUGUCAGAGGUGAAAUU
rnacentral:rRNA from 1 species